CCCCACCAUUUCCGUGGCUACGGCACACUGAGCUGGAACUUUGGAAGUGACAUGGCUGUGUCUGUGCCAUGGUACCUGGGGCUGGCAUUUCGGACACGGGCAACGCAGGGGGUCCUGAUGCAAGUGCAGGCUGGGCCACACAGCACGCUCCUUUGCCAGAUCGGGGGUUACUGUCUGUGACAGUGACCAGGGGCUCGGGCCGUGCUUCCCAUCUCCUUCUGGACCAGGUGACUGUCAGUGAUGGCCGGUGGCACGAUCUGCAGCUGGAGUUGCAGGAGGAACCAGGUGGCCGGCGGGGCCACCAUGUCCUUAUGGUCUCACUGGACUUUAGCCUCUUCCAGGUCUGGCCUCUGACCCCGGGGUAGUCUGUUCUCAGCCUUCCAACCAGAUCCGCCUUUUUUGACCCCACCUCUAGUCCAGCUCCUCUCAGUUCCCUCCACUGCACUGAGUCUGAUGUUCUACCCCCAGUUCCCCACCAUAUAUCCUUGCACUGAGCCCACCCACCAGCCAAGUUGGUCCACUCUCAAGCCCUCUUUGUGCCAGAUUUGGGGCCUGGUCUUGGGGAACCUCUG
rnacentral:lncRNA from 1 species